AUGUCCCGCGCCUACACUGCGAUGUGCGAUCGCGCUGGCCACGCCCACCCGACGACUGCUCGCUACGUUACGUUCUCC
rnacentral:sRNA from 2 species